AACAGGUCUAGGAACACUGCUGAUGGCAAAAGCAAAUGGUCCUACUUUGCAUGUCAGUAUUGUACUGUGAUUUUGUCAUUACACUUUUCCUCACACCGCCACCUCUGCUUGCCCAACAGCAUCAUCUCUGCACUGCACUGACAGGAUGGAGAUGGAAUACUCUGCCAUUACAACAAAAUGGACUGUGCUUAGAAUUUUUUCAAGACAGAAUGCUCAUGGCCCUGCCUAGCUCAUGAAUAAAAGUUGCUCCAGCUAGUAGCAGCCCACUGAGCACAACCCACAGAACCACCUUCCUGCCUGGAGAAGACUACUGAGGUGAGUGCUCUUUUCCAUCACAGCUCUUACUACAUUAUGGGGUCAUUACCAUGACAAUUUAGUUCUUAAAGGAACUACAAACCCUCGAGGCCAGAAUUAUUUGGUAACCUAAAGAGUAAGAAUUUAGCCUUCCCUUACAUUAUUUCAAUGUAAUCUCAUGUCCCUCCGAUCUAUUAGAGACACCUGUUAGGAUUUAUAUUGAGG
rnacentral:lncRNA from 1 species